rnacentral:lncRNA from 1 species
AGAGAAUAAAAGCAGGCUGCCCGAGCCAGCAGUGGCAACCUGAUGGGGUCCCUUUUCAAGCUGUGGAACCUUUGUUCUUUCUCUGUUUGCAAUAAAUCUUGCCACUGCUCACUCUUUGGGUCCACACUGCUUUUAUGAGCUGUAACACUCACCGCGAAGGUCCGCAGCUUCACUCCUGAAGCCAGCGAGACCACGAGCCUACUGGGAGGAACGAACAACUCCCGACGCGCCGCCUUAAGAGCUGUAACACUCACCGCGAAGGUCUGCAGCUUCACUCCUGAGCCAGCGAGACCACGAACCCACCAGAAGGAAAAAACUCCGAACACAUCUGAACAUCAGAAGCAACAAACUCCGGACACGCCGCCUUUAAGAACUGUAACACUCACUGCGAGGGUCCGCGGCUUCAUUCUUGAAGUGAGUGAGACCAAGAACCCACCAGUUCUGGACACAAUUUCAAGUCCUCAGGUGCCAUCAAUAUUCUGAAAAUGGCAGUGAUUUUUAUUCAACCUGUAUAAGGCACUUUCACCAUGUACCUGGAAGCAACAUCUACAUCUUUUUCAGCAAUCUAGAUGCUGGGGACACAAGGUCCACCUUCCAGGAAUAUGGCCAUGACACCAGAAAUCACAAACAUGAUGAGAAUGGAAUGACUGGGGAAGAAGUGCCAGAUGCUUCACUUGUAAAUGAAGACCCAGCCUCUGGGGAUGCAGAUACCACCUCCCUGAAGAAGCUGAAUAUCUGCAGAUAAGUGGAGUUCACCAAUGAUGAGGAGCGGGAUGGAGAAAGGAGGUAGGGAGAGUCAUCCAAGGAACAUGAGCAACAUGUUAAAAGCCAAGUGGUUUAAUUUCUGGAGAUGGUGAACCCAAGAGGCUCUGCUGGGAGACAACAAAAAUAAUGAAGGUAAUGGAUGAAAUCCUGUAUGCUCAAUGUAAAAAUACUUAGCUCCUUUCACUUUAGCUGCCAGAACACUUGUGGUUUUAUAUUCCAUCAGAUGGGAAGCUUCUCUUCUCUGAAGAAUCUGGAAAGUAUAUGAGAAAGAAUUGAACCAGAGUCCGGUGAAUAUCAGCACUGGGACCAGUUAGCAGAGGAAAAGGAAAGAAUAAAAGCGAAAAGAAUGAAGAGUCAUAUGAUUACCAACUUUUCCUUUUUCAUAUAAAUUGAGUGUAUAUGGGUCUGGAACAACCUGAAUUUCCAUCAAGUCCUGGCUAACCUCAUUAUGUCCUAUGAAUAUUUUUGACUAAUCCCACUUUACAUUAAUCUGUAUUGUGAAUGUGGAUAUUGAAUUAUAUUUCUUUGUAAUCCCAUUAUCCAAAAUCCAGUUCAGAGACUAUUAGUUACCAAUGUUCACUGUGAAGGAAAAAAAAAAAAAAAAAGCUCAGAGGAUAAACAUGUGAUAUGGUUUGGCUGUGUCCCCACCCAAAUAUCAUCUUGAAUUGUAGCUCCCAUAAUUCCCACGUGUUGUGGGAGGGACCCGGUGGGAGAUAAUUGUAUCAUGGGGGUGGUUCCCCCAUACUAUUCUCAUAGUAGUGAAUAAGUCUCACAAAAUCUGAUGGUUUUAUGAGGGAAAACCCCUUUCACCUGGUUCUCAUUCUCUUCUCUGGUCUGUCGUCAUGUAAGACAUGCCUUUCACCUUCUCCACCAUGACUGUGAGGCCUCCCCAGCCACGUGGAACUGUGAGCCCAUUAAACCUCUUUCACUUAUAAAUUACCCAGUCUCUGGUAUAUCUUUAUCAGCAGCAUGAAAACAGACUAGUACAACAUGUUUGGAAAUGAUGUUCAGAAUUAAAUUUUCUUCUUGAAGAAUAAUAAUGUACAGGAGUGUGUUGAAGAUUUUGAGAAUUCUCACAGCAAAGGAACUUGUUAAUUUUUUUAAUCCACCUACCUAAUAGAAUUAAUAUUUUAAGAGAAACAGCUUGUGAAACAAUUAUAUAUAUGGUCCCAUAAAAACUUUUAGAAAACAAUUAUUAUACACACAUAUAAACACAUAUUACUUACUAGUAAAGAUGUACCUAUCUUCCUAGGAAGCUCUUUCAUGGUAUUUCAUUAGUAUCCCUUCCAGCACCUACCAUCCAUCCAGGCAAAUUUUAGAUGUUUUACAAAGGUUUAUGAAAUUGCAUUAAACACCUGUUAAAAAUCACUUUGUUCAUUGCAAGACAUUUAUAUACUGUAGUUUUAAAGAAAGAUAACAGCUGAGGGGAGCUACAGGAAAAAGAAAAGCAUAGAACUUAUGUUGAAUUAUUUUUCUUGUGCAUAUGAAGUUGCUCUGUGAGAACAAGAGCACUCAGCAGACGUAUAGAUCCACUAUCUUUUCACAUGGCAAUAUGUUCAUCCUUUCAGACAAUUUGAGCAAGUUUGGAACAUAAAAUAAUACAAAGAGGCUAAAAUGCAAAGCAAAAAAAAAAAAAUGAAAAUGAUUGGCACAAAAUAAUGGAGCAAUUGUAAGAGAUGUUACAUGUGUAAACUUAAACCAGGACAUAAACCGUUGAAGUUCACCGUUUAAGGAAGCAUCCAAAUAUAUAAUAGUCCUGCUAAAUGCUUGGAGUAGCAAAUUUCUAUCACAUGCAUCCACAUGCACAUCUUACAUUAAAAUCCCGUGACAAUAGUGUUAACAUCUUGUCAUUUUAGCCUUGAAUGUCAAAGGCUCAUGGGAUCUACUCCAUGACUCACAUAACCUGUAUAUCUAGAAACAGGUGUUUUAAACUCUACAUCUGGUGAUAAAUAUUAAAGAUAGAAGAUGAGAGUUCUAAAACAGUCUACUUAUUUCAUUUCCACUUGGCUUUGCCACCAUUACCUAAACUAUUACAGAUUGAGCUCCACAGACUACUCAGAAUUCUCCUCCUGUCUUGAAAUUCCAAAUGCAAUUUUCCCAGGAUUUUUAGAAAUUUAUGAAAUUAUUAGCCAAAAAUAUUAUAUUUCAAGAUUAAGCCCUCAUCCUACAGUUUAGAAAACCAAGAGCCAGCUGAAAAUACUUGCUCAAAUUCAGAGAAUGAAUGUUGUCUAAAUUAGUUCAAAAACAAGUGACUCAUUGAAGAUAAAGUAGUGUGGUGAUUAAAAGCAUGUACUUUGAAAAAAAAAAAAGUGACUCUUGGCUUGUAAUACAAUUUUUUCACUGCAUUAUUCUAAGGAAAUUUGUUAGUAGAGCUGAAAUAAUACAGCAUUAGGGUUAAAAAGUACAAGUUUCAAAGUUACAAAGACCAAGGUAGCGAAAGGCAAAUUACUCAACCUCUCUAAACAUGGUUUAUUCAUUAGUAAAAGAAGAACAAGAAUAUUAUUUAUGACAUAGUAUUAAGAGUUUUAAACAAUGUAGAAUACUGAAAGUGCCAAAAAACUAUUGUCAUUAUUACAUAUGUAAGUAAAAUUUAUUUUCUGCAUAUCAUUGUAUUAGUCUGUUUUCAUACUGCUACAAGGAACUACCCAAGCAGGUAAUUUGUAAAGAAAAGAGGUUUAAUUGACACACAGUUCAGCAUGGCUCGGGGGGCGGGGGGGCCCUCAGGAAACUUACAAUCAUGAUGGAAGGCAAAGGGGGAGCAAGGCACCUUCUUCACGAGGCGGCAGGAAGGAGAAAUGCUGAGUGAAAGGGGAAGAGCCCCUUAUAAAACCAUCAGAUCUAGUGAGAACUCACUAUCAUGAGAACCGCAUGGAAGAAACUGCUUCUGUGAUUCAGUUAUCUCCACUUGGUCUCUCCCUUGACACACGACGAAUUACAAUUCAAGAUGACUUUUGGGUGGAGACACAAAGCCUAACCAUAUCAAUCACCAUACCUUUCAAAAACUACAAAUAGUUUUCAUUACAUUUGGAGGUCAGUCUCAUGUAAAUUAUAAUGAGGUAUCAUAUUCAAAAUCCACUUUGAUCUCUGCUUCUAAGAGGACGGAGUGGACAUAAUUUCCGUAUUCCUCCCAAUGGGCACAACUAAAAACUCUGGAAAUGAUAUAUAAAACAAAUGUAAGAAGACUCUAAAGCAUGGAAAGAAAAAGGCAGGCGAGCUUGGGAAAUUGGAAUUCAAUGAACUACACAGUGCUGAGUUCCCUGAGUUUUCAUCUUGCCUCACAUAUCAUCUCAGACUGGGCACUAAAGACAUCAACAACCCGAAAAUACUAAAACGCUAAUGGACACAAACACCAAAACACACACAUACACACACAAAUAAAAACCCAAGAGAAGCCUGCUUUCUCUUGCCAAUGGACCAGAAAAGAAGCAGCAUAGGAAGACAGAAAACAUUUAGACAAUAACCACUUUACUCUAGCCAAACACUAUGUAAAAUACUGCAUGCCUACCCCUAGAAGCAAAGGCAGAGGGGAGAGUCCAGUCUUUGGACUCUUGCCAGGCUGCCAGGAGGUGCUGCAAGCCCUACCUACCUCCAGAGUGGUGUCAGAGAAGGCAGAGUGGAAAGCUGAGACCAUCAUCCCUAUCAGGUGGUAAAGAGGAUCCCCUUCAGGGUGUCAGGGGAGUCCAUGGGAAGAGGGAUAGGGACUUGGAUUUCCACCCUACCCAGAGGCACCAAGGCACCCACACUCCUCUCACUGAGGUGCUGUCAGAGGAGGUCUAAUGGAGAGUCGGUACUUUAAUGUGGCUCAGUGGUAACAAGCUCGACCCCAAAAGUGCUAGUAGAGGCCAUGUGGGAAGCUGUAAGAAGACAUCCCUCCCCUCCCAGCCAGGGUGGUAUCAACAGAUACCUAAUGGGGAACUGAGUUUUGACCAAAGUGCAAAAGCAAUUCAAUGGAGGAACAAACUUUUCAAUAAAUGGUGCUGAAGCAAUUGGAUACCUAUAGGCAAAAAAAUAAAAAUAAAAAAAAAUUAGACCUCAAACGUUUAACAAAAAUUAACUCAAAAUAAAUAGUAUAUUUAAUAUAAAAUGUAAACUACAAAACUUACAAAAUAACAUUGGAGAAAAUUUUCAGGACCUAGGACUUGGUGAAGAAAAUGUAGAUGUGACACCAAAAGCACAAUCCAUACGAGUAAAAAAUCAAUAAAUUGGAUCUACUUUUGCUCUGUGAAAGAUCCUGUUUAAGAGAAUGAAAAGACAAGCUAUAGAGUGGGAGAAAAUAUUUGCAAAUAUCAGUGAGAUUUCUUAAAAUUGAACAGUUAAAAACAAAUAACCCAAUUAGAAAAUGGGCCUUCCCCACCCCCAAAAAACCCAUGAAGAGACAUUUCAGACAUGUAAGCAAAUGAAAAAAUGUUCAAAGUCACUAGCUAUUAGGGAAAUGCAAAUAAAGACCAUGAGGAGACAUCACUACAUACCUUUCAACAUGCUGACAUAAAAAAAACGGUGACAACACCAGAUGCUAGCAAGGAUACAGAGAAACUUGAUGUCUCAUACAUUGCCAGUGGGAAUACAAAAUGGUUAAGCCACUGUGGAAAACAGUUUGGCUGUUUCUUAAAGUAAUUAAACAUAUGCUUACCAUACAACCCAGAAAUUGUACUCCAGGGCAUUUAUCCCAGAGAAAUGAAACAUUAUUGUAGCAGUUUUUUGUUGUUGUUGUUAUAGCCAAAACCUGGAAUACAGCAAUAAAAAGGAAUAAACUAUUAAUACACACCAUGAUUUGGAUGGAUUUCAAAGUCAUUACAAUAAGUGAAAAAAAAUCUCAGAGGACACAUUUAUAUGUGAGCUCAUUUAUACAACAUUCUUGAAAUGAUAAAAUUACAGAGACAGGAAAAAAAAAUUAUGUUUCCCAUGAGUUAGGGAUGGUAUAGGCGAGGAAAUUGAGUGCAGCUAUAAAGGGGUAAUUUGAGGGAGAUCUUUGUGGUAAAGGAAUAGUUCUGUAUCUUGAUUGUACUGAUGAUAUAGACUGAUGAAUCUACACAUAUGAUAAAAUGACAUGGAAUCAUAUAUACUCAUUGUCUAAUUUCUGUCUUUGAUGCUGUAUUAUAGUUAUAUAAGAUGUAUCCAUUGAUGGAAACUGAGAGAAGAGUACGUGGGUUGUCUCUGUGCUACUUUUGCAACUUCCUGUGAAUCUACAAUUAUUUUAAAAUAAAAUUUUUCUUUUUUUAUUAUACUUUAAGUUCUAGGGUACAUGUGCACAAUGUGCAGGUUUGUUACAUAUGUAUACAUGUGCCAUGUUGCUGUGCUGCACCCAUUAAGUCGUCAUUUACAUUAAGUAUAUCUCCUAAUGCUAUCCCUCUCCCCUCCCCCC